GCAAGACUUACAUCAAAUCUAAACUAAGUAUGCAUCUGUAUCAAAAGAAUGGGUUGUGUCUGUGGACUAAACUGCAGAAUGCCAGAAGGGAAGGGGAAAGCCUAGCCUAUCAAAGACUAGCAUCUUCUAGAAAACCACCAUAUUGCAGCAACAGGAAGGAGUAGAGUAGCAUAAAGUAAAGUAGUAGAAGUGUUAUCAACCUCGGCCAGAGAUCCUUUCUCGACUCCCUGCGAGAAAGCAAUCCCAGAGCCAUACUAUCCAAGUGUCAUCACAAUCCAAUUCUCAUCACCAUCCAGUUCUCAUCACAAGUGUCCAGUUCUAGUUGUAUUGACCGGGAUACAACUCCAAGUGUCCGUUACCGUAGGACAGGCUAUCGAUAGAUGUUUUCUUCCCUGCAGGGAUGCACCAACUUACCCACCACGCUCGAUUAACUCCGGCCGGACACACUUUCCUGGGUCAUGCCCGGCCUCGGCCAAACAAUACGCCGCAACCCGACCUAGGCUUAAUAGAGAGGCCAGCACGCCGGACUAAACCUAUGCCCCCAGAGGGCAUGGGCCAUCUCCUCGGGAACUCUUGCACGUUGCGUGGGCGGCCGGUGAGCAGACCUAGCUACCUCCUUCAACAAGGUAGGUGCUUUCCAGUCCAACCCUGCGCGCGCCACUCAGUCGCUGACGUCUAUUAAGCUUCGGCUGAUGUAUACGACGCAGAACGCCCAUACUAUGCCCACGUGAUGGUUAGUGCUAUCAGGCCAGAGGCCCCUCGGAUCAAAUAUCCAAAUCGUAGUGGAUUAGGAACGCGUGGUGACGAGCAGAGACUCACGAUCGAUGUGACCCCGUCGCCCCGUCUCGAGUACUUGCGGCAAGGGCUAAGAAUGCCCGGCCACGCCUCGUAAGUAUCUCGCGGGCACCUCCCAGGUCAACCCGACUCCACAUCACUCGCAAUUAAGCUCGCGCGGGUACCCCUCAGGGUCGACCCGUCUUUAGUAACAUGGCUCAGUGUAAAGUCAUAGUAACCAUAGUAACUGUGUGUCUAACACCAAGGGGAAAACCCGAGGAAUCACCCCCGGUGAAUCCCACUCGAUGUUAUCAUCAAGGUGAACAUAAGAGGAUCCACCCUCGAGGUUCACACUUGAGGGGUUGCACGAUAGAGCGGUAACGGAAGUGGUUAAGGAGGAAAUCACCCUCGAUGACCUCGACCGUAUAGCUAUACUACAGAGAUCUCAUCAGGAGUGAUGUAUGAGGUUCACUCUUGGCACUCGAUUGUAACUCUGUAGUGUCGUACAACUAGGGGGUGAUGUGCGGUGUCGGGGCCUGGACGUCGAUCAUGUUGAUCGAGUCAUCGAACAUAAAGCGAGGCAACUGGGACAAGGCGGCGGGGUCACUGAUGGAUCACUAACCAACCUAUACUAAGCAGUUUAGGAUAAGCAUGUAAGGUAUGAAAGCAGGUAACAACAACAAGCUAUGCAUCAGAGUAGGAUCAUACGGAAAGCAGUAGCAGUUCUAAUGCAAGCAUGAGAGGGAAAGAAAUGGGCGAUAUCGGAAUGCUCAAGGGGGGUUUGCUUGCCUGGUUGCUCUAGCAAGAAGGAGGGGUCAUCUUCGAUGUAGUCGAACACACGGACAUCGGUAGCGGUCUCGGAGUCUACCGGAAAGGAGUAACGGAGGGGGAACACAAUAAAUAACAGAGCAAACAAAGCAACAUAAAGCAUAACAUGGCAAUGCGCGGUGCUAGGGGUGACCUAACGCAGUAUGAGGUGAUACCGGUGAAGGGGGAAAACAUCCGGGAAAAUAUCCCCGGCGUUUCGGGUUUUCAGACAGAUGAAUCGGAGGGGGAAAGUUGCAUGCUUGCUAUGCCAGGGUUGCGUGGCGGACGAAUGGGCUGCGUAUCCGGAUUCGUCUCGUCGUUCUGAGCAACUUUCAUGUACAAAGUUUUUCAUCCGAAUUGAGGUUUAUUUUAUAAUGAUUUUUCAAAGUUUAAUUGAAUUCUUAGGAUUAUUAUAUUUAACUUAAACCAAAUUGACUAAGUUAAUUUUGACUAGUCAAAGGGCAGGUGUGGCCCACAUGUCAUAGACUAUUUAUCUAAACAAUUAAACAAAUCUAACUUAUUUAAAAGGGCCUACAUGUCAUCUACUACUAGACUAACUUAACACUAAUUAAACCUAGUAGUACUAAUCUAAGCUAGGGCCGGCCACUAAUGGGCAUAGCCCAACCGGCCACACGCAUGAUGCACACAUACACACACAGGAGCACACGGCCAUGGCCAACUGUACGCACACACACUAUGCAGAACACACACUCACCCACACAUAGCUCUGUUUUCUGCUAACAAAAGAUAGCAUUUUGUGAUUUUCAUAGAAUUUAAUCCAUGCAUCAAAAGGGUUUGGUCCAGUGGGAUAAAAUGGAGUUUGUCAAGUAUACUUUCUACUCAUAUUAUUUUUAGCCUUGUUAACAGUUGUUUAAUCGCUGUUUAGGUGCUGCCCAGGGGGUUACUCAUUGUAGAUUUAGCAAAGCUAACUACAUCUACAGUAGCUGGUAGUAGUACUCGUAGAAGAGUGGGGGCUUCGUAGAGGAGUGGUGGCUGGGCAGAGCCGUGGCGCGGGUGGGCCAAGCGCAGUAGCGCGCGUGCGGGCGCGCGGCCGGCGCGGGGCACGCAAGGGCAGCGGCCGGAGGCGAGGCGGAACGAGAUGCGAACGCGGCGUCGCGAGCGGCUGCAGGGCCUGAGUCCUGACGACAGCAACAGCAAAGCAGCAGCUGCACCAGCACAACAGCAUGCACAGGCAGCAAGCAUCUGCAGAGCAGAGCGGGCGCGGUAGAUGGGCCGGGCGCGCGGCCGGAGCUGCGACGACGCGGCCCGGNNNNNNNNNNNNNNNNNNNNNNNNNNNNNNNNNNNNNNNNNNNNNNNNNNNNNNNNNNNNNNNNNNNNNNNNNNNNNNNNNNNNNNNNNNNNNNNNNNNNNNNNNNNNNNNNNNNNNNNNNNNNNNNNNNNNNNNNNNNNNNNNNNNNNNNNNNNNNNNNNNNNNNNNNNNNNNNNNNNNNNNNNNNNNNNNNNNNNNNNNNNNNNNNNNNNNNNNNNNNNNNNNNNNNNNNNNNNNNNNNNNNNNNNNNNNNNNNNNNNNNNNNNNNNNNNNNNNNNNNNNNNNNNNNNNNNNNNNNNNNNNNNNNNNNNNNNNNNNNNNNNNNNNNNNNNNNNNNNNNNNNNNNNNNNNNNNNNNNNNNNNNNNNNNNNNNNNNNNNNNNNNNNNNNNNNNNNNNNNUCUUACGAGGAGGCAAGAGGGGAGAGGGGUUGGAUGGUGCGCUCACCGGGCGGCUCAAGAAGGCCUGUGAGAGUUUAGUAGUGCAUGAGGGUGACGGAGCGGCUCGGCGCAGCUCCGGCGAGGAAGGCGUGGUCGAGGUCGUUCCCGAGGACGCGGUCGCUCCCGACUGGUUCCAGCGGCCGGAGUCGAAGCAGAUGACGGCGCCGCACCUAGCGGACAUGCUCGUAGAGCACGGUGAGGCGCGUGGGCGCCGGCGUUCACGGCCACAGUUGCGGUGGAUCUGGGGGAAGAGAGGGAGGGCGCAGGAGUGGGGAAAAUAUCUGGUGGGGGAAGGGGAGCUGACGAAGCCGAUGGGACUCUGCCUUAUCCUCUCAGCGCGGCAGCGACGCGGGGGCGGCGAGCGGGUUCGGCGAGGACAGCGGGCGCGCCUCGGUCGGCUUCCCCUGUAGCGAGGUGGAAGGCGACCGAGGGGGAAGUUGGGUCGGGCUGGCUCGGUGAGAUGGGCCAAGGCCCGGGGUCAGGGGAGGCCUUUCUGUCUCUUUUAUUUUUUUGUUGCAUUUUCCUUUUACUUAUUUUCUUUUUACUGUUUCUCUUAUUUUGUCUUAAGUAAACCCACCAAAUGAUUUUUGUAAAUGGUAAUUUUUGUCUCAUAAAUACCAAUUUAUAUUUUGGGCUGACACAAAAAGUUUGGGGCCAUUUGGAAAUAUAUAACCAUUUGUUUAUUUCCAAAAGAUUAUUUUUGUCGUUUUUGGCUCACUUAAUAAAUUUUUUUGGAUCAAAUGGUGAGGCAAAUGAUGACGAUUACAACAUGAAAUUGAUCAGGGGCAUUAUAGAACAAUUAGAACAUUUUUGUUUUAACAUAUGAAAACUUUUAUUUGUGACUUUACUUUAAGUUUGAAUUUGAACCGGUUUGAAUCAAAGUGAUAUUAGCAACAGUAACAGCGAUGACAUGACAUUAUUAGAAGAGGGUUACUGUAGCUUGAUUAUCCGGGCAUCACAAUUCUCCUCCACUACAAGAAAUCUCGUCCCGAUAUUUAAGGGGUGUAGUAGGGGGAAAGACAAGGAAAGGACGGACCUUAACACAAGAUAGGUAACUGGGGGCCAUCUCUCGAGUUGAAAUUUUAGAAAGACAUCGAGAGCAAAGCAAGAAGGUGCAAUAAAAAGUUUCAAGCGGUAGGCAAUCGUUCGUUGCCUGAAACAGAGAGCGAAAGGGGUUCAAGAGCAAUGGGAAUAAGUAUUGCGUCUAAUACCAGAACAGAUCAUAAGGAUGGUGACUCGUGAAUUACAUACAAAGCCAAGCGCGAGGGACAACUUGGAAAACAAGGAGAGUCAGGUUUCGAUCCUGUGGGACUGUGGGUUAUGGGCCCACCAUGUGGGUUAGAAGUAGGAAGGGUGCUAACAUUUGCACAGUUAUGAUAGCAAGGCAGGUCAGAGGAUAGCAUGUCAGUUAUGUUGGCCACAACGUCGGUACCAAGGGCGAGGGACGAAGAGAACCAUUUUCCUUCUCGUAAGACGAGGCGGACCAAUAGGCAAAGUUCUCGUCCAUCGGUGGUUACCGGAAUGUCAUCAAAAAUAGUAACAGGGUCUUACUGACAGAGUUGUACACCGAGGUGCUUACUUAAGUGGGGAUUAUCUCUGCUCAAACAAGUUAGAUUACAAGAAGGUGAAACAAAACAAGGGAAAAUGUGAUUAUUAAGAUAAUCAGACCAAUGGAAAGGAAAGGUGUUUAUACCCAAGUAUUAGAGUAUAACUUUCCCAAGGAAAGGCAGGGCAUGUUAGGGCUCCAAGUAUUAAACCAUUUAGACAAAGGGGAAAGGAAUUUAUGAGGUUUACCCAUACAAUGGUGUUUGGAUAAUUGAUCAAGAACAGUUAGCGUUGCGCUCCCAAUGUUCUUAUUGAUGUUCGGAGUACCACUAUCAUGCUUCGGGAUAGCAUUGACAUUUUAGAACAUCUCAUGCAAUUUUUAAUAGGUAACAGAUGAGAAGGUGGCCGAUGGGUUCCGCAUCAAUCCAUCGACAUAUCACAAAGGAUGUAUUUCCAAAAUUCUAUGAACAAGUUUGUGUUGGGGCGAAGGCAUAAAUGUUGUCGAUGAUAACACAAAUCAUCGAGGGGCAAGCAUGGUAUUUCUCAUCAUGAAGUAUUGAUAUCCUGGAAGAUUUCAGAAUGUUGAUGAUGAUCACCACAAUUGUGGAGAUAUUUCAUGAAGAUGUAAUCGAUCGGCGAUGACAUCAAGUCAAAGGAAUGAUGAAGCAAAAGGUUAUUAGAACCAUGAGUAUGGCAUAAACUCGAAAUCAAGCUUGUUGUUCAAGGCGAAGAGAUAUGACGAGGAAAAUCGAUGUAGGCUUAGCAUCAUCGUCGGAAAUUGUGCUCCAGGAACAAGGACCAGGUAGCACAGUUAAAAUUUAGCACGAUAAUGAUAUAGCCGAUCGGGCUAGGAAUGACUUGAAGGAUUAUUAAACUCGUAAGCAGCGAAAAUUACCUGAGAGUUAUAGAAUCAGAGUGUGGAAUCGAUUCACUUAUCGGUGUUCUCGAGUGACUAAUAACUCAGAACCUGGGGAAAAACUGAAGUCGGUGAGAAGUAAUACUAGAUGAAGACUCAUAGGAAGCAACACAGUUCUUUGAUAUUCUCGAGAUACCGGAGGGUAAUACUUGAAGGAAGGUCAAAAUAGAGGUUGCGGAGUUGCAUUGAUCUGGAGAAGACAAGUGCGUGAACUUGUCCGAGAAAUGGAAACAAAGGGGAACAAUCAUGGUCAGAACCAUGGUUGUAAAGGGUCAAUUCACAGAUACCAAAUGAUAUUAUAUCAAGGAAAUAGUUAUUAUUACCAGAAGCUUCCAUGAUAGGAUAUACAUCGUGUCUAUGGGCAUGAACACAAAGUUCAAGGUCGACUCCCACUUAUUCAAUGUAUAACCUUCCAUUCACAGCCCUAAUAAAAAUGAUUUCAGUGUGAAAACCUACCUGGUGAAUUACCAAAGGAGUAUGAGCCGUGAAAGCUUGCGGGUUCACAUAGAUUAAGGAAAGAAUAGGUUCAACCCAUCGGGGUAUCUUGGAAACAUAUACCACAAGCUUCGAGAGUAAUUAUCACCAGCUCGAAAGCAGAGCAUGGUUGGCCAAAUCAGAGAAUAGGAUUUACCAAUGUCAUUAUGUAUCGGGGAAAGAACUUCCAAAGUGAUUGAAUAUGAGGAAUGUUGUCAGAUAAAAUCCAACAAAGGAUUUGGCGGAUCUCGAGGAAUCCGAUGUGAGUGUUGAUGUUCAACCAGAAGAAGAAAUAAUGCAAAUGCAUCAGAUUAUAGGGACAUCUGAAUAAUUUCAAAGUUUAAAUACAAAGGAAUUAUGAUUCCUAUAUCGGGGGGAUCAGAAGCAGAGGCUCUGCUCAAAAGAUAAGUAAGUUGAAUAGACUUAGAGGCACCCGAUAAAUUCUUGAUUGGGAAAGAACCAACUCAUAUCCGGAGCGAUGUCGGAGCCGGAAAGAAAAUUUCCAAGGAUUAAUUGAUGAUUGCGAGUAUUCGCUCACACGUUGAAUCCAUUAGAACAGACUGACAAUCACAAAGAAUUUUAAAGAAUAUUGCUAGACAUAUGGAAUUAAUCCUAAUGCAAGCAGGCAAGGAGCAUUAAGAGCAAUAGGCUGCAGAGGAUUUUUGGAAUAUCAGAUAGUAUUUCCAAGUAUUUUGCAACACGUAUGAACAACUAGAGAUGAACGGACCCCGGUUAAGUGAAUUAUCCGCAGUGCAAAAAGAAGCUGCAAAGCAGAAGGCACAAAGGAUUCUCGGAACAACGGAGAGUACUAGUGGUAUCUUGUAAUAACAGAAGCAACUAGGGAAGAAGGUACAAGCGGCAAGGAUGUUAUUCAGGGGGAUUAUCGGUGGUCAGGAACUGCAAGGUAGUUGGCACAAGGUCUCAAGAAACAUCGAGGAGUACCUGCAGAAUCUUCUGGCGAAGCAAGUGAUCAUCGGUAAUGUCGGGCUCUCCGGGAGAAAAUGGUUACGAGAACCUAAUGUUAGAGUUAAUAAAAUCAUUUAACCCGAAUAGAAGAGAGAUCAGAGUCCCAGAGUAAAGACGAGUAAUAAAAGAUCCUAACACCACCCAAUGGCGACGUGGGACCGUAAGCCACACAGCCAUGUUAGUAAAAGUUUUUAGUGACUAGACUCAACUUCGACCAAGGAGUUGAAAAGAGGGCUACCUACAGGCAGUCGGCUCUGAUACCAACUUGUGACGCCCUUGAUUCAAUCAUACACUAAUCAUACACGCAAAUGUGUACGAUCAAGAUCAAGGACUCACGGGAAGAUAUCACAACACAACUCUAGACACAAAUUAAAAUAAUACAAGCUUUAUAUUACAAGCCAGGGACCUCGAGGGCUCGAAUACAUAAGCUCGAAAACACAAGAGUCAGCGGAAGCAACAAAUAUCUGAGUACAGACAUGAGUUAAACAAGAAUGCCUUAAGAAGGCUAGCACAAAAACAACAAUGAUCGAAAAGGCAAGGCCUCCUGCCUGGGAGCCUCCUAACUACUCCAAGUCGUCAGCGGCCGUCACGUAGUAGUAGGCAUCCUUCGGGUAGUAGUAGUAGUCAUCAGUGGCGUCGUCUGACUCCUGGGCUCCGUCAUCUGGUCGCAACAAUCGGGUAUGGGGGAAAAGAAGUAGCAAAGAAACUGUGAGUACUCAUCCAAAGUACUCGCAAGACUUACAUCGGAUCUAAACUAAGUAUGCAUCUGUAUCAAAAGAAUGGGUUGUGUCUAUGGACUAAACUACAGAAUGUCAGAAGCGAAGGGGAAAGCCUAGCCUAUCGAAGACUAGCAUCUUCUGGAAAACCACCAUCUUGCAACAACAGGAAGGAGUAGAGUAGCAUAAAGUAAAGUAGUAGAAGUGUUAUCAACCUCGGCCAGAGAUCCUUUCUCGACUCCCUGCG
rnacentral:lncRNA from 1 species